AGAAUGAUUGAUGGAAUGAAGUUGGAAGAAAGUUAGAAAUUUGGAGAAGGAUCUCAAGAGGACUUCGAGGGAACUCCCGGCGAAGCGUCUUAGAGCUAAUUUCUCAAACUUUGACUUUUGAUACUUGGUUUGAAAGUGGAAGUUCUGAGGCUUAAUUAGUGACCCCCAAAAAUAAUUUUUCCCUACAGGGCUCGAGGCCAAAGAAAGCGCUUGUAUUGAGUUAUUAGUGCCUGAAGGGAUAUCUCAUAUAUAAU